rfam:Klebsiella sp. RIT-PI-d NODE_2_length_598449_cov_38.8215_ID_3, whole genome shotgun sequence.
CCCAGAGGUAUUGAUUGGUGAGAUUUUUUGGUACGCAUUUCGUACCCGACUCUUACACCGGCCUGCGCAGAUGCGCAGGUUUUUUUU